rnacentral:rRNA from 1 species
UCGAGCGGAUGACGGGAGCUUGCUCCUUGAUUCAGCGGCGGACGGGUGAGUAAUGCCUAGGAAUCUGCCUGGUAGUGGGGGACAACGUUUCGAAAGGAACGCUAAUACCGCAUACGUCCUACGGGAGAAAGCAGGGGACCUUCGGGCCUUGCGCUAUCAGAUGAGCCUAGGUCGGAUUAGCUAGUUGGUGGGGUAAUGGCUCACCAAGGCGACGAUCCGUAACUGGUCUGAGAGGAUGAUCAGUCACACUGGAACUGAGACACGGUCCAGACUCCUACGGGAGGCAGCAGUGGGGAAUAUUGGACAAUGGGCGAAAGCCUGAUCCAGCCAUGCCGCGUGUGUGAAGAAGGUCUUCGGAUUGUAAAGCACUUUAAGUUGGGAGGAAGGGCAGUAAGUUAAUACCUUGCUGUUUUGACGUUACCGACAGAAUAAGCACCGGCUACCUCUGUG